UACGUAGGGGGCAAGCGUUGUCCGGAAUCAUUGGGCGUAAAGCGCGUGUAAGCGGCUUGGUAAGUCCGCUCUGAAAGCCCGGGGCUCAACCCCGGGAGGCGGGUGGAUACUGUCAAGCUCGAGUCCGGAAGAGGCGAGUGGAAUUCCUGGUGUAGCGGUGAAAUGCGCAGAUAUCAGGAGGAACACCAAUGGCGAAGGCAGCUCGCUGGGACGUGACUGACGCUGAGACGCGAAAGCGUGGGGAGCAAACAGG
rnacentral:rRNA from 1 species